UAAGUACAAAUCUUGACGAUGAAACCGCGAAUGGCUCAUUAAAUCAGUUAUGGUUCCUUAGAUCGUACUAUCCUACUUGGAUAACUGUGGUAAUUCUAGAGCUAAUACAUGCAACUAAGCCCUGACCUCACGGAAAGGGUGCUUUUAUUAGAUCAAAACCAAUCGGACUUCGGUCCGUCCAUUUUGGUGACUCUGAAUAACCUGAGUAGAUCGCACGGUCUUGCACCGGCGACGCAUCUUUCAAAUGUCUGCCUUAUCAACUGUCGAUGGUAGGUUAUGCGCCUACCAUGGUUGCAACGGGUAACGGGGAAUCAGGGUUCGAUUCCGGAGA
rnacentral:rRNA from 1 species